UACGAAGGGUGCAAGCGUUAAUCGGAAUUACUGGGCGUAAAGCGCGCGUAGGUGGUUCAGUAAGUUGGAAGUGAAAUCCCCGGGCUCAACCUGGGAACUGCUUUCAAAACUGCUGAGCUAGAGUACGGUAGAGGGUGGUGUAAUUUCCUGUGUAGCGGUGAAAUGCGUAGAUAUAGGAAGGAACACCAGUGGCGAAGGCGACCACCUGGACUGAUACUGACACUGAGGUGCGAAAGCGUGGGGAGCAAACAGG
rnacentral:rRNA from 1 species